rnacentral:piRNA from 1 species
GAGCAGCCAUCUUGUUAUACCGUCUAUCU